GGACCAAAUUUGAAGUACAGUAGAUUAAAAGGGUUAGCUGAUACUAGUGAUCUACUGCACUUCGAAUUUGGUCCC
rnacentral:pre_miRNA from 1 species